GGACUACAGGCAUCCGCCACCACGCCCGCCCAGAGCCGGCCUGGUUCAAGCAUUUCUCAGAAAUUUCCAGCGCACGUUCCCCAUCUGAAGGCUCACACCUGCGGGAGCAGAACACACUCCACACGGGUGCCUCCAGCACACGGAACUUGCGCUCCCGGAAGCUUACGACAUGGUCAUUGUUGAAGUGUUCCCCUCGAAGUAGCUGGGCGUGGUGGCGCGCUCGUGGAGUCCCAGCUACUCGAGAGGCUGAGGUAGGAGCAUCGCUUGAACCCAGGAGGAGGGAGUUGCAGUGAGACGAGAUCGCGCCACUGCACUCCAGCCUGGUAACAAAGCGAGACUCCGUCUCAAAAAAAAAAAAAAAAAAAAUCCUUAAGGACAGCCCAGAGGCUGGCGACACCUUCACGGGCCCCUCCAUGGAUGCGCCUCUGAGGUCACCGCUCCGGAAGGUCCCAGACUGGCGUGGAAACCUAUUACUAAGUGGGGCGCGUGGACACCGGCAGGUCCCGCUCUAAAGGAGUCCCGCGGAUGCUUGGGCCUCAGUUCCUCUUUCCUGCCCAAGUAUUCCCCCCGCUCUGACGAAACAGGCAACUUCCAGACUGUGGCGUUAGCUCAGCGACUGCGCUGAGCCCCGGGAAAGAACCUGGUCCCGACGGCCAGCUGACCCAGGUUAGUUGCAGAGAUGCUGACUACCCCGCUUCGCUGGCUGCUGCGAGGUCACAUGAGGCCCUCGGUGUGACGUGAGGUCCUCGGGCGCAGCAGGGAGCGUGGCAGCCAACUCUUUCUGCGCGUGCGCGAGCGCGAGCAUCUGCUGUUGUUUAGGCAGAACGGUCGCAAAUCGCACCCUCAGUACUGGCCCGCUUUGCUCUUCUACCUUGCCCUCCUAGUCCGGAUCCAAGAUCCCAAGUAAUCUUCCUACCCCUGCACCGGGGCCGGGACCAGGCAGCCAAGAGCGGCGGAGACAGACUGCUGGGACCGCGACAUCUCCUCUCCUGUUCGCUGCCAUAUGCCCGCGUCGUGUUGAGCGGCCUGCGGACACUGACAGCCUGCCCGGUCCGCUGAGUGUUUGAUCCCCAUCCUCGCAACGCUCUGGAGUGGGCGGUGCAGCCAGUCUUCUUUCAUUCUUAUGAGGCAAGAGAGAGACCCUCUCAUAUUGUUUUAUACUCUGUACCUGUUUAAAAAACAAAACGAAACAAAACAAAACAAGGAAGUGAAACCAAAGACAGGCAGCCCGGCGCCAGGCCCCAAACCGGACCUGGACCUGCCUGGCCUAAACCUAGUAGUUAAAAAUCAACUCAUGACUUAAAAACCGAUGUUGUCCUUAGAUUCCCCGCGUCGUAUAGAAGAACAUUGUGGGCCAGGGGCGGUGGCUCACGCCUGUAAUCCCAGCACUUUGGGAGGCCAAGGCGAGCGGAUCACCUGAGGUCAGGAGUUCAAAACCAGCCUGACCAACAUGGAGAAACCCUGUCUUUACUAAAAAUACAAAAUUGGCCAGGCGUGGUGGCACAUGCCUAUAAUCCCAGCUACUAGGGAGGCUGAGGCAAGAGAAUCGCUUGAACCUGGGAGGCAGAGGUUUCGGUGAGCCGAGAUCAUGCCAUUGCACUUCACCCUGGGCAAGAAGAGUGAAACUCCAUCUCAAAAAAAAAAAAAAAAAAAAAACAUUGUGAAACUCCCUGCUCUGUUCUGUUUCUCUCUGACCACCGGUGCAUGCAGCCCCUGUCACAUACCCACUGCUUGCUCAAAUCAAUCACUACCUUUUCAUGUGAAAUCUUUAGUGUUGUGAGCCCUUAAAAGGGACAGAAAUUGUGCACUCAGGGAGCUCGGAUUUUAAGGCAGUAGCUUGCCGAUGCUCCCAGCUGAAUAAAGCCCUUCCUCCUAC
rnacentral:lncRNA from 1 species